AAGCAAUGCCUUACAAUUAGGGUUGUUGCUUGGGACUGAAGAAAAUGGAGAAACACGGAACCAAGGUUCCGAUUUCGAUAUUGCUCAGAGGAUUUGAAUCCCCAUUGUUCAGCUGCUAGAUUUUUUUCUCCGUCAUCAACUUCGUUUCGAAGGAAAUUGUUAUUUUAUUAGGUGGGAAAUUACGGAAAGAGGCUUAAAGCGGAGAGGAAUAAGAAAACUUAAGGGAAGGGGUAAAGGCAAAAAAAAGUGAACCUGACGUGAAUCGAACACGCAACCUUCUGAUCUGGAGUCAGACGCGCUACCAUUGCGCCACAGAUCCUUUCAUGCAUAUAAAGUUAGGUCUUUUAUGUUACUGGCCAAAGAUAAUCCUUGUGAGAAAGCAAGUGGAGCGGACCAGCAGUUGUUACUGUCAUCCUAAUUCCAAGGCAUAACUCAGCUCGAAAAAGAUAUGGUAAUACCAAAGACGACAGUUUAUAAACAUGGCAAAUUGCUUAUAAAAUGUCUAUCGAGACUUCAGAGAAGAGGGGAGAUGCAAAGCUCAGUGAGCUUUAUAAGACUAACCAGAUUAGUUGACUUUAUCAUCCUAACAGUAAUGUUGCUAAGUAAGAGUGUUGUCCUACACAAGUACCAAACUGAAGUUUCCUAGUUCAUCGUUAUACAUAAGAGGGUACCCUCUCAAAAGUCUCAGUAUUCGUCUUUUGAAUGAUAUCCUAUCAAAUUACUAUUGCUACUAUUGGAAGAUCAGCGAUCUGAUUUAUAAGUUUGACAUGUAGACAUAAACAGAUGAGUGAUUACUGUAUAAUGCAAUGCUUGUCAAACAGGUAUAUCUAAAA